rnacentral:rRNA from 1 species
GUGAGGAAUAUUGGACAAUGGGCGCAAGCCUGAUCCAGCCAUGCCGCGUGCAGGAAGAAGCAUCUAUGGUGUGUAAACUGCUUUUGUACGGGAAGAAACACUCCCUCGUGAGGGAGCUUGACGGUACCGUAAGAAUAAGGAUCGGCUAACUCCGUGCCAGCAGCCGCGGUAAUACGGAGGAUCCAAGCGUUAUCCGGAAUCAUUGGGUUUAAAGGGUCCGUAGGCGGUUUAAUAAGUCAGUGGUGAAAGCCCAUCGCUCAACGAUGGAACGGCCAUUGAUACUGUUAGACUUGAAUUACAAGGAAGUAACUAGAAUAUGUAGUGUAGCGGUGAAAUGCUUAGAUAUUACAUGGAAUACCAAUUGCGAAGGCAGGUUACUACUUGUGGAUUGACGCUGAUGGACGAAAGCGUGGGGAGCGAACAGGAUUAGAUACCCGAGUAGUCC